GAUGAACGCUGGCGGCGUGCUUAAUACAUGCAAGUCGAACGGACGGGCGCUGAUCUUGUGUGGUGCUCGAGUGGCGAACGGGUGAGUAUCACGCGUGUAACACGUCCCUGACUUUGGGAUAACAUCAGGAAAAUGGGGCUAAUAUCGGAUAGGAGCUCUUGCACCACGGGGGGGGUUGGAAAGGUUCGGCGGUUGGGGCUGGAAUAGCGGGUUAUCAGCUUGUUGGGGGGGUAGUUGCUUACCAAGGCUUUGAAGGGUAGCCGGCCUGAGCGGGUGACCGGCCACAUUGGGACUGAGAUACGGCCCAGACUCCUACGGGAGGCAGCAGUGGGGAAUAUUGCACAAUGGGCUGAAGCCUGAUGCAGCAACGCCGCGUGCGGGAUGACGGCCUUCGGGUUGUAAACCGCUUUCGCCUGUGACGAAGCGUGAGUGACGGUAAUGGGUAAAGAAGCACCGGCUAACUACGUG
rnacentral:rRNA from 1 species